AUGAAUCCACCUGCAGGAGGGUGUGAAAACUUGACAAAUUAAGGUCAGGAGAUUAAAGCUGAGGUUUACAAGAAGAGGAUUGAAGAGGAGAAGAUCCAGCUACUGUAUAUCGACCAGGCCUUAGUGACACAGCAGCUGCAGGAAACCUGCUCAGUGUACUGCUGUGCUCUGACUGCGAGAGGAGUUAUGAUUAGUCAAGCAAAGAGCCCAGAAGAGGAGCCGAGUAUCUGCUACCAACCUCCCCAAGCCUGCGUGCUCCCAGCAGCCAUGCGUGCAGAGUCCAGGAGAGAGAGCACAUAAACAGAUUUGGACAUCACUUUGAUUGGAUGGAUUCCACCUUUCUAAUCCCAGAGACUGACAUUUAUAUAUCUGAUAAGCCCCUAAAACAAAUGAAAGGGGGAAGCUUCAGUUAAACUUCAAGUUUUCAUGAAUGAUUUUAGAGUCUUGAUUAUGUGUUGAACAACUUUUGGUGUCCAAAAAAGCUAUAAAGUUUAUUUUGUAUACAUCACUGAAGUUAGUUUGUUAGUUUGUUAUUUUGUGUCUUUGUUGAGUCUCUUGAUGACUUAAUGGAUCAGUGUGUAGGAUUUAGUGCCAUUUAGCAG